rnacentral:pre_miRNA from 1 species
UUAAUACUCCCUCCGUCCGGAAAUACCCAUCAGAGGAAUGGAUGUAUUUAGAUGUAUUUUAGUUCUAGAUAUAUUCAUUUUUAUGCAUUCUUCGACAAGUAUUUUCAGACGGAGGAAGUGUAAG